UUGAUGGCGACCGGCGCACGGGUGAGUAACACGUAUCCAACCUGCCGAUGACUCGGGGAUAGCCUUUCGAAAGAAAGAUUAAUACCCGAUGGCAUAGUUCUUCCGCAUGGUAGAACUAUUAAAGAAUUUCGGUCAUCGAUGGGGAUGCGUUCCAUUAGGUUGUUGGCGGGGUAACGGCCCACCAAGCCUUCGAUGGAUAGGGGUUCUGAGAGGAAGGUCCCCCACAUUGGAACUGAGACACGGUCCAAACUCCUACGGGAGGCAGCAGUGAGGAAUAUUGGUCAAUGGACGAGAGUCUGAACCAGCCAAGUAGCGUGAAGGAUGACUGCCCUAUGGGUUGUAAACUUCUUUUAUACGGGAAUAAAGUGAGGCACGCGUGCCUUUUUGUAUGUACCGUAUGAAUAAGGAUCGGCUAACUCCGUGCCAGCAGCCGCGGUAAUACGGAGGAUUCGAGCGUUAUCCGGAUUUAUUGGGUUUAAAGGGAGCGUAGGCGGACGCUUAAGUCAGUUGUGAAAGUUUGCGGCUCAACCGUAAAAUUGCAGUUGAUACUGGGUGUCUUGAGUACAGUAGAGGCAGGCGGAAUUCGUGGUGUAGCGGUGAAAUGCUUAGAUAUCACGAAGAACUCCGAUUGCGAAGGCAGCCUGCUGGACUGUAACUGACGCUGAUGCUCGAAAGUGUGGGUAUCAAACAGGAUUAGAUACCCUGGUAGUCCACACAGUAAACGAUGAAUACUCGCUGUUUG
rnacentral:rRNA from 1 species